UUUCUUUCUCCACGUGGUCGCGUGGAUUUUUACUCCCGAGUCCUCCGGUUCUUCCCCUCCACGUUUAGAGUCAACAUCACACGUUUUAGAGUGUGUGGCCACUGCUAUACAUUUCCACACGAUGAUGGUAAGUUGCUUGAUUUGAGCGGCUUAUCACACGAUGAUUUAUGAUAGCCAGGUCGCUUAUAAAGAAGAGCUACAUAGCUCAGCGCGGCCCUACCUGGUUAAACUAAAAACAUUUUGUUAUAAUUUUUAUUUACCAAGUGAGAGCAUCGCAGUGGGGGGGGGGGGGGGUUGGGAGGGCGAUGGAGGCUCCGUGGCAUCAACCCCCGAUUUAAGUAAAACUUCCGCAGGAUUUCGGCUAAUUUUGGAACCCUUGGCGCUACUGCGAAUGACGGGAUCUGGAUGGUCAAUACUCUGGCGGCGGCGAGUCGAUUGAUCGGAAUCAAAAUCAGAAUGUUUAUUUACACUGCAGGAGGUGGAAAUCCGAUGAGCUAUGAAGCUCUUUUUCGCAUUAUGUCAAGUGUGGGGCCACGGGAUGAGAACGUUACAACAACGAAUAAUUCAACAGCACGAUAGAAGUGCAAGUUGAUGGCAAGGUAAACAAAUCGCUUAAGACAACAAACGAUAGCAAAGACUUGACAGGGGAGCGCUAAAUCGAGGAAUGGGUAAUGACGUCACAAUAUAUAAAGCAUUGAUUAUUACAUCCAUCCAAUAAGUUCGAUUUAUCGAGCCUGGGCAACAACAACAAGACUGCGUGUUAAAUUAACAACAAAUGGCCCCACACCACACCAACAUAACACACAGCAGUAGUCCCUCAAUCAAAUUGCACAUUCACGUCUAACGCUUGGUCGAGCUGGUCUCUCUCUCGAGAUAGAGAGAUACAUACAAUAACGAAUCGUCGGGGACGGUAAAUUUGUCUCGCAUAAAAACCAGCGUCACGUGACCACAUAAAUAGUCGGAGCAACGUUACGCGAACAGAAAUUAUAUUUAAAAAAAUAGUCGCUCGCCCGAAAUCUUUAAAUCCUAAACUCAUCCCUAAUGCACGCACACUCGCAGUGUCCGUGCGUGCGCGUGUGCACGUGUGUGUGUGUGUGCGUGUGUGUGUGCGUGAAUCUCACAAGGUGCCUGCAUAUGACCACGCUUGGCCACACGCAAAUAUCCACGACCGUCGUGAAGGGCCAAUUAAAAGUUGUUUUUGUUAAUCAUUUUUAUUCUUCUCGUUACCAUUGCCGCCGUUUACCGUUACGGUCUUCGCCGCCCGUUACUCCUCGUCGCGAUUGGCACGUUGCUCGCGGGUCCGUGGGGGGCGCGGUGGUGGUGGUGGGGCGUGCGCCGCGCGGUUCUGUUGGCGUGCGACGGACUGCGAUUGGUCGUGGCGGUCGUUCCCCACAGGCGGUUGCGUGCAACUUGCGUCGCUCCCCCACGUGUGGGCGUUCCACGCAACCUGCCCUCUGCGACCGGGGACGUCCGCGCGGCGGCCGGCCGGCCGUCGAUUUAAGAAGCGGCGUGGAUUUCGAGAGCGGCUCGCCCGUGCAACUAAUACGUCGGAUGCGGACAAGGCGGUAGCAGGCGACGGACGCGGGAUUCGUUGUGAAAUUGGGGUUGGCGGGCCGCCCAACGCAAAUUUUGCGUCGUUCAGAACCCUCCGCUCGUUGCCGGAGGGUUAAGUUCGGGAGCGACUCCCGCGGCCAGAUCGACGAUUCGCCUGCGACCGUGUCGAGCGCCUUCGGGGCGAGAUCCAGGACGCCACGAUCGCAAUAGUCGCCGAAUUCGUGACGUGAAGACGCUCGGCGCGGCCCCCUCCCCCGAAGAGAAUCGUCGCGCGAGCUCACCGCCGCUGAAUCUCUGUCGCACCCACCACCGCCGCCGCCGCCGCCAUCGGUGUCGAGUUGAUCCGCUACGACGGGAGGGGACCGUGCGCCACGCACGACAGUCUCGUUUCGUCUUCUUCCGUGUCGGGCGGUCGGAGGGUUGACGACGACGACGCGCAGAUUUGUUCGGAUCGUUACGCCCGGUGGCCUUGAUCGCCCGCGGCUUGAAACGUCGGACGAUGAAUCGGAAUCUUGGGGCCGCGGGGAGGAAGGAAGGGAAAAAAAACCUCCGAACCAAGUUUCGAAUCACAAAUGGCAGCCGUUGCACGCCCACAGCUCUCGAAAUCGAAAUCCGCGGUUUUUGUUGUUGUUGCUGCGUCGUGAAUGGGAAGUGGCGCCGAUUGGCGGCGAUUGCUGUGCCCGGCAGAUUAAUGGCGAGGCUUUUACGAGAGUGGAAGGAAGGCUCAGAAUUAUGAAUAUUAAACUUGUUACGCUUUCCAUUAUCGUUCCUCUUGUCAUCAAAUCCCUGUUCAUGUAUGUUAUCGUGCAACAUAGUGUUAUUAGAGGCAGAGUACUACAUAUAGUGCAUAGGAAUAACAAACGAUUAUGUUAAGGAUCUCCCCCCCCCCCGCGUGUGUUAUCUCGGUGCGGUUGUAAGCGGCUGUACCCAGCGGCGCGUGGUCAUGACAUUAUAUUAUUAUUAUCAUCACCUGCGGGGGUGCGGUAAUCGGUUGGGUGGGCCCCCACCAUUAGAUUUGUUUUCUCGCACGGUCACACCUCGAGGCCCUCCCCUUGCCUCAACCGCCAUCCGUGGUCACGCUAGCGGGCUCUCCAACGUACGACGUAAAACACGAGUUGUGCGAAGAUGUUCAAGCGCCAAAUAGUAAACUUUUGCGAGGAAUCGAGUUUCUGCAUUAACCACACGCAGUGCUUGUGGUGAACGUGCGGACACAAACGUGCGGCUCUGAUACUAAUGUGUGAUGCGUUGUCUUUGAGACUGAUUGGCCUUCUUCAUGGCCUAGCCUCACCACCAUUGUCAGACCAGAGAACAACGCCACAAGGCGAACAGCACAGAGACAACGCCACACACGUGUCAGAGCGUUUAUACCUCGGGGUUGAGCAGCUUCAUCAUGGGGUGCCUUUUUUUUGCCAGUAUCAAAUUAUGAAAAAUAAUACUAGGUUUUACUCUGUCUGGCAAUAAAACAGAAAGUUCAAACACCAAAUAGUAACUUUUUACAGGGAAUCAAGUUUCUGCAUUAACCACACGCAGUGCUUGUGGUGAACGUGCAAACAAACGUGUGGCUCUGAUACUGUGUGAUGUAUUGUCUUUGAGACUGGCCUAAACCAGACGGCAGCAGCCUUCGUUAAGACCCAGUCUCUAGGGGAAAGAGGGGUCCCAUUUUGGUCUCUAUGACGUUUAACGGCGUCUGGGGGCGGCUCCGGUUUAAAUGGGUUUUUGGUUCUUUUUGUUCUCGUCGUUCUUGAAAAUAUCUCAUCAUCGGAUGGCGGCUGUCAAGGGAGGCUCUCUCCAACUCGUAGCUUUGGCCACCUGGGGCGGGGGGGGGGUGGUGGCACUCCCCCUCCCUCCCCCCCUCUUCCUUCCGUGACGUUCGCUUCGAUGACGCCUGCGGUAGCUCCACCUUGCUGGGAGUCGUCGGCGUGGCCGCGUCAAGCCGCUGAUGCCGCUGCGUGCGUGGGGGUCGGUGCGAACCCCAGGUGAUGUUUGGCCGGAACUCCAAGGAUCGGUUUCGCUUUUAACUCGUCGCCAAGCUAGGGGUGGUCAUGACUCGCCAAGUGACCGUUCGGCAGAGAUUUAUAAACUCUCAACUAUGCAUAAGUCCGGAACCGGUGGAAUUUUCCUCAAUUCUGGCUGUCGCCCGAUGAGGCCAGUUGUUGGAAUUACCGGCGAAACGUCGCAGCUACUCGAAUUCAAAAUGUUUUUACUCUCCAACACAACCGUGCGUGCUGAGACUGGUAACUCAUUGGAACGUUUUGUUUACGUGACAAACCCUUGCUGAAUUGGCUGCGUCGGGUGGUGGCGGGUUCGACGACACAUCUGGAUAAUGUCGGUCGCGAAAGCCUCUCCGCUGCUACAACUGCUGCUGCUGCGUUAAACUGACUAUGCAUCGACUCGUCUCCUGCGUUCUUACAGCUUCCCAUCUCGGGGGUUGAGAGCCCUUGGCUCUGUGUGUGUGGGUGGGCAACGUUUAGGGGUCACGGGUGAACCUUCACUGGGGGUGCACCUGGUGAACCUUCACUGGGGGUGUACCUGGUGAACCUUCACUGGAGGUGUACCUGGUGAACCUUCACUGGAGGGGCACCUGGUGAACCUUCGCUGGGGGUGCUCCUGGUGAACCUUCACUGGAGGUGCACCUGGUGAACCUUCACUGGAGGUGCGCCGGGUGAACCUUCACUGGAGGUGCGCCGGGUGAACCUUCACUGGAGGUGCGCCUGGUGAACCUUCACUGGAGGUGCACCUGGUGAACCUUCACUGGAGGUGUGCCUGGUGAACCUUCACUGGAGGUGCGCCGGGUGAACCUUCACUGGAGGUGCGCCGGGUGAACCUUCACUGGAGGUGCGCCGGGUGAACCUUCACUGGAGGUGUACCUGGUGAACCUUCACUGGAGGUGCACCUGGUGAACCUUCACUGGAGGUGCACCUGGUGAACCUUCACAGGAGGUGCACCUGGUGAACCUUCACUGGAGGUGCACCUGGUGAACCUUCACUGGGGGUGUACAUGGUGAACCUUCAUUGGGGGUGUGCCUGGUGAACCUUCGCUGGAGGUGUACCUGGUGAACCUUCACUGGAGGUGUACCUGGUGAACUUUCGCUGGAGGUGCACCUGGUGAACCUUCACUGGAGGUGUACCUGGUGAACCUUCGCUGGAGGUGUACCUGGUGAACCUUCGCUGGAGGUGCACCUGGUGAACCUUCACUGGAGGUGUACCUGGUGAACUUUCGCUGGGGGUGAACCUGGUGAACCUUCGCUGGAGGUGCACCUGGUGAACCUUCACUGGAGGUGCACCUGGUGAACCUUCACUGGAGGUGUACCUGGUGAACCUUCACUGGAGGUGCACCUGGUGAACCUUCGCUGGAGGUGUGCCUGGUGAACCUUCACUGGAGGUGCGCCUGGUGAACCUUCACUGGAGGUGCACCUGGUGAACCUUCACUGGAGGUGUACCUGGUGAACCUUCGCUGGAGGUGUACAUGGUGAACCUUCACUGGAGGUGCACCUGGUGAACCUUCACUGGAGGUGUACCUGGUGAACUUUCGCUGGGGGUAUGCCUGGUGAACCUUCACUGGAGGUGCGCCGGGUGAACCUUCACUGGAGGUUCGCCGGGUGAACCUUCACUGGAGGUGUACCCGGUGAACCUUCACUGGAGGUGCACCUGGUGAACCUUCACUGGAGGUGCACCUGGUGAACCUUCACUGGAGGUGCACCUGGUGAACCUUCACUGGGGGUGUACAUGGUGAACCUUCAUUGGGGGUGUGCCUGGUGAACCUUCGCUGGAGGUGUACCUGGUGAACCUUCACUGGAGGUGUACCUGGUGAACUUUCGCUGGGGGUGAACCUGGUGAACCUUCGCUGGAGGUGCACCUGGUGAACCUUCACUGGAGGUGCACCUGGUGAACCUUCACUGGAGGUGCACCUGGUGAACCUUCGCUGGAGGUGUGCCUGGUGAACCUUCACUGGAGGUGUACCUGGUGAACCUUCGCUGGAGGUGCACCUGGUGAACCUUCACUGGAGGUGUACCUGGUGAACUUUCGCUGGGGGUGAACCUGGUGAACCUUCGCUGGAGGUGCACCUGGUGAACCUUCACUGGAGGUGUACCUGGUGAACCUUCGCUGGAGGUGUGCCUGGUGAACCUUCACUGGAGGUGUACCUGGUGAACCUUCGCUGGAGGUGCACCUGGUGAACCUUCACUGGAGGUGUACCUGGUGAACUUUCGCUGGGGGUGAACCUGGUGAACCUUCGCUGGAGGUGCACCUGGUGAACCUUCACUGGAGGUGUACCUGGUGAACCUUCACUGGAGGUGCACCUGGUGAACCUUCGCUGGAGGUGUGCCUGGUGAACCUUCACUGGAGGUGCACCUGGU